rnacentral:rRNA from 1 species
AGAGUUUGAUCAUGGCUCAGAUUGAACGCUGGCGGCAGGCCUAACACAUGCAAGUCGAACGGUAACAGGAAACAGCUUGCUGUUUCGCUGACGAGUGGCGGACGGGUGAGUAAUGUCUGGGAAACUGCCUGAUGGAGGGGGAUAACUACUGGAAACGGUAGCUAAUACCGCAUAACGUCGCAAGACCAAAGAGGGGGACCUUCGGGCCUCUUGCCAUCGGAUGUGCCCAGAUGGGAUUAGCUUGUUGGUGGGGUAACGGCUCACCAAGGCGACGAUCCCUAGCUGGUCUGAGAGGAUGACCAGCCACACUGGAACUGAGACACGGUCCAGACUCCUACGGGAGGCAGCAGUGGGGAAUAUUGCACAAUGGGCGCAAGCCUGAUGCAGCCAUGCCGCGUGUAUGAAGAAGGCCUUCGGGUUGUAAAGUACUUUCAGCGGGGAGGAAGGGAGUAAAGUUAAUACCUUUACUCAUUGACGUUACCCGCAGAAGAAGCACCGGCUAACUCCGUGCCAGCAGCCGCGGUAAUACGGAGGGUGCAAGCGUUAAUCGGAAUUACUGGGCGUAAAGCGCACGCAGGCGGUUUGUUAAGUCAGAUGUGAAAUCCCCGGGCUCAACCUGGGAACUGCAUCUGAUACUGGCAAGCUUGAGUCUCGUAGAGGGGGGUAGAAUUCCAGGUGUAGCGGUGAAAUGCGUAGAGAUCUGGAGGAAUACCGGUGGCGAAGGCGGCCCCCUGGACGAAGACUGACGCUCAGGUGCGAAAGCGUGGGGAGCAAACAGGAUUAGAUACCCUGGUAGUCCACGCCGUAAACGAUGUCGACUUGGAGGUUGUGCCCUUGAGGCGUGGCUUCCGGAGCUAACGCGUUAAGUCGACCGCCUGGGGAGUACGGCCGCAAGGUUAAAACUCAAAUGAAUUGACGGGGGCCCGCACAAGCGGUGGAGCAUGUGGUUUAAUUCGAUGCAACGCGAAGAACCUUACCUGGUCUUGACAUCCACGGAAGUUUUCAGAGAUGAAUUGGUGCCUUCGGGAACCGUGAGACAGGUGCUGCAUGGCUGUCGUCAGCUCGUGUUGUGAAAUGUUGGGUUAAGUCCCGCAACGAGCGCAACCCUUAUCCUUUGUUGCCAGCGGUCCGGCCGGGAACUCAAAGGAGACUGCCAGUGAUAAACUGGAGGAAGGUGGGGAUGACGUCAAGUCAUCAUGGCCCUUACGACCAGGGCUACACACGUGCUACAAUGGCGCAUACAAAGAGAAGCGACCUCGCGAGAGCAAGCGGACCUCAUAAAGUGCGUCGUAGUCCGGAUUGGAGUCUGCAACUCGACUCCAUGAAGUCGGAAUCGCUAGUAAUCGUGGAUCAGAAUGCCACGGUGAAUACGUUCCCGGGCCUUGUACACACCGCCCGUCACACCAUGGGAGUGGGUUGCAAAAGAAGUAGGUAGCUUAACCUUCGGGAGGGCGCUUACCACUUUGUGAUUCAUGACUGGGGUGAAGUCGUAACAAGGUAACCGUAGGGGAACCUGCGGUUGGAUCACCU